rfam:Tomato bushy stunt virus, complete genome.
AGCGAGUAAGACAGACUCUUCUGCCUGAGUUCGCGGAUACAAGUGUGAAUCUAACAACGCAUACAGGUUA